rnacentral:rRNA from 1 species
GACGAACGCUGGCGGCGUGCCUAAUACAUGCGAGUUGAGCGCUGAAGGUUGGUACUUGUACCGACUGGAUGAGCGGCGAACGGGUGAGUAACGCGUGGGGAAUCUGCCUUUGAGCGGGGGACAACAUUUGGAAACGAAUGCUAAUACCGCAUAAAAACUUUAAACACAAGUUUUAAGUUUGAAAGAUGCAAUUGCAUCACUCAAAGAUGAUCCCGCGUUGUAUUAGCUAGUUGGUGAGGUAAAGGCUCACCAAGGCGAUGAUACAUAGCCGACCUGAGAGGGUGAUCGGCCACAUUGGGACUGAGACACGGCCCAAACUCCUACGGGAGGCAGCAGUAGGGAAUCUUCGGCAAUGGACGAAAGUCUGACCGAGCAACGCCGCGUGAGUGAAGAAGGUUUUCGGAUCGUAAAACUCUGUUGGUAGAGAAGAACGUUGGUGAGAGUGGAAAGCUCAUCAAGUGACGGUAACUACCCAGAAAGGGACGGCUAACUACGUG